CCCAUGGCCCCAUGUAGCUGUGUCACUGGCACCCCCGUGGCUACCCUGUGCUUACCAAAUAAAACAAUUAUGUAUUUAUUACGAUUUUAUAUGAGAACGUCAAAAGCAGAACUAAUGCAACCACGUUCAAACACUGCAGCCUGCUGCCACUGGUGUGUGGCGCUGGCGCUGCUCAGUGAAUGAUAGAUCAGACCAGAGAGAAGAAGACAAACGAAGAAGAUGGAGUUGUGAUUUCUCAGUUCCGAAUGGCGGCCAUAUUGGAAUUUUCUUUACUGUCGCUAGUUUCACACUACUUGAUUUCUCAUGUUGCAGUAAGCUAAACGAUUUCAUCUCUUACGUGACUUGUUGUUCUUGCACGUAACUGUGUAACCGUCUGACUGAUAAAGAAGUUGUUAAAUGUCUUUACGUUUAGAAACAUAAUCAAGCAAACUCAUCCAAGCAGAUGCGAAUAGCCUACAAUGUCAGUACUCAAACCACCAGUAGCAGGCUUAGGACUAGAGUUUGCCAGUCAGACCACUACACCUUUGCCAGCACCACCACCCAGCAAGCUUCAUCAACUCCAGCCAUGCCGAGUUUACCAGUCAGACCUACACCUCUGUCAAAUUCGCUCACAACGCUGCCAGUAACACCCCAGCAAGGUAGAACUGCAUUUUCAUUAAUCUGGCACCAAUAUCAAGGGAGAAACAAGCCAUGAAUGUCUGUCACAACUUCUUUGCAUCUUUACUUUCCUUACAUCUGAAGAGUGUGUUACAUAUAUCAUUAUUAAAAAUAAUUUUAAUAAAUUGUUUAAGCAUGUACAAUAAAUAAAGCAUGUAAAUGAGCAUGUAAAAUAAAUAAACAAAAGCAAGUAAAAUAAAUAAAUAAACAAAAUGUAUUGAACCUAAUACUAUGUGUGGUGAGUCUGUGUGAUAGUUGCUGAGGAUAAAUGUUUUUAUAUUGGAUUAUUAAAUUACAGAAUACAUUUAUAGGUUUCUCAUCAGCAGGCACUGUCUUCACCUUAGUAAAUUUGGUAACUUUGGUAAGUCCUGUAAAUAAUUGUAAAUUGUUCUGAUUGAGGGCAAAUGGAAAGUGUUAUAAUGUAUUAUUGCUAUUUUAGUGCAUCAUUUUCAUUAUUAUGGCCAUAAAUAAGGCCAAUUAGAAGCUGGUGGGUAGUAAGCGGCAAAAGGGUGGCCCUUUAUCUGGAGCCGCUUCUGAGCCGCCGCUGGACAGCCAGAGAACUGAUGAGCAAAACUCCAGCGGGCCACUGGUGGUUACCGCCGUUGGACCGCCAACUCUGCCGCUGGUUUGUAACAGUAACUUUAGCAUUAAAUGAUUGCAAAAUAUUUAUUGAGGUGAGUUUAACAAGUGUAAUUUCAUUGGCAUAUAAUUCAGGCCUAUAGUAGAUGGCUAAAUGGCUACAGUAGAAGGAUACACGAAAAGCCCAAACUACCAAAAUCUUCAUAUUUUAUUACCACAGUUUCUAUCUAUAGGCCUCUCUUAUUUGGUAUACUGACUAGACAUUAUUGAACAAACAUAGGCUAUUCAUCUGUAUUUCAGUAUCUCAGUAGGUUAAAGUAUUUUUUAGAUACCUCCCUGAAAUUACUUUUUGCAGGUUGUGAUGUCUUCUAUACGUUCUGACGUUACUGUUAAAAUGGCGUAACUGUUAAAUUCCAAUAUAGUGAGUAGGCUAUUGGCAAAACCGAUUGGCAUUUUUAUGUUGAGCCGGCAGGGGGCUCAGUUUAAAAAGUAACUAAGUUCGCACACACACAUCAACAGAUUCACACGCACAGAUAAACACACUUCCACGGAUUCCACACACACACACACACACACAUGCGCACACAUGCACAUUCACACACACAGACAGACACACACACAUCUUUAUACAAGCAAACUCACACAUGCACACACUCAUAUACACAUGAGCUGCAAGAGUAGGAGAUAUACAUACAGUAUAUUGCACAAAUCGGAGAUAAGGCAGGUUUAGACUUGCUGCAGACAACGCGUUCGUGUUCGUAUCAUGACUGCCUCGCGUAUUUUGCGGUCGUUUGGUGCGUCGGUCGUGCACGUCGUCGCAAGCGAACAUGACGCGUCCGCGAGAUGCAAUACUGAUAAGAAAGUAGGGGGCGAUCACUACAAAAAAAGGUGACUGCAAGAUGCAUUAUCGACAUCGAAGCUGGGGGCAAUCAUGAGAGUAAACAAUGGCACAUGGCCACAUCCACAUCUGAUGUUACUA